rnacentral:rRNA from 1 species
CCUACGGGUGGCUGCAGUGAGGAAUAUUGGUCAAUGGCCGGAAGGCUGAACCAGCCAAGCCGCGUGAAGGACGAAGGUGCCAAGCAUUGUAAACUUCUUUUGUCAAGGGACAAAAUCAGGCUCGAGAGCCUGACCGAGGGUACUUGAAGAAAAAGCAUCGGCUAACUCCGUGCCAGCAGCCGCGGUAAUACGGAGGAUGCGAGCGUUAUCCGGAUUUAUUGGGUUUAAAGGGUGCGUAGGCGGACUGUUAAGUCAGCGGUAAAAGCCCGGGGCUCAACCCCGGCGAGCCAUUGAAACGGGCUGUAGUGAGAUGGGGGGAGGUAUGGGGAAGGCGCAGUGAAGCGGGAAAAGGUU